GGAUGGGGGCACCCUGAAUCCAGCAAUGCCGCGGUGAGUGAUGAAGGCCUUAGGGUUGUAAAGCUCUUUUACCCGGGAUGAUAAUGACAGUACCGGGAGAAUAAGCCCCGGCUAACUCCGUGCCAGCAGCCGCGGUAAUACGAA
rnacentral:rRNA from 1 species